GGAGGCUGUGCCCUUGAGGCGUGGCUUCCGGAGCUAACGCGUUAAGUAGACCGCCUGGGGAGUACGGCCGCAAGGUUAAAACUCAAAUGAAUUGACGGGGGCCCGCACAAGCGGUGGAGCAUGUGGUUUAAUUCGAUGCAACGCGAAGAACCUUACCUGGUCUUGACAUCCACAGAAGUUUGCAGAGAUGCGAAUGUGCCUUCGGGAACUGUGAGACAGGUGCUGCAUGGCUGUCGUCAGCUCGUGUUGUGAAAUGUUGGGUUAAGUCCCGCAACGAGCGCAAC
rnacentral:rRNA from 1 species